rnacentral:rRNA from 1 species
CCUACGGGGGGCUGCAGUGGGGAAUAUUGGGCAAUGGGCGAAAGCCUGACCCAGCAACGCCGCGUGAAGGAUGAAGGUUUUCGGAUUGUAAACUUCUGUCCUCAAGGACGAAAAAAAUGACGGUACUUGGGGAGGAAGCCCCGGCUAACUACGUGCCAGCAGCCGCGGUAAUACGUAGGGGGCAAGCGUUGUCCGGAAUUACUGGGCGUAAAGGGAGCGUAGGCGGUCUUUUAAGUUAGAUGUGAAAUACCCGGGCUCAACUUGGGAGGUGCAUCUAAAACUGGAGGACUUGAGUGCAGGAGAGGAAAGUGGAAGUCCUAGUGUAGCGGUGAAAUGCGUAGAUAUUAGGAGGAACACCAGUGGCGAAGGCGACUUUCUGGACUGUAACUGACGCUGAGGCUCGAAAGCGUGGGGAGCAAACAGGAUUAGAUACCCUUGUAGUC